UUUCGAAUCAUUCACAAUGGGGGAAACCCUGAUGGUGCAACGCCGCGUGGGGGAUGACGGUCCUCGGAUUGUAAACCCCUGUCACCAAGGACUAAAACACAGGUUCAUAGCCUGUGCUGAAUUAACUUGGAGAGGAAGCAGUGGCUAACUCCGUGCCAGCAGCCGCGGUAAUACGGAGACUGCAAGCGUUAUUCGGAUUCACUGGGCGUAAAGCGUGCGUAGGCUGACUGGUGUGUCAGGUGUGAAAUCCCGGGGCUCAACUCCGGAACUGCGCCUGAAACUACCAGACUAGAGUUUUGGAGAGGAAAGCGGAAUUCCAGGUGUAGCAGUGAAAUGCGUAGAUAUCUGGAGGAACACCAACGGCGAAGGCAGCUUUCUGGACAAAUACUGACGCUGAGGUACGAAAGUGUGGGGAGCGAAAGGGAUUAGAUACCCCCGUAGUCC
rnacentral:rRNA from 1 species